UCCCUGGUAGUAUAGUGGUAAAUACGUCCAACCCUAUCUGAUACUUGGAAGACCGAGGUUCGAUUCCUCGCUGGGGAA
rfam:Trichomalopsis sarcophagae strain Alberta scaffold2194, whole genome shotgun sequence.